rnacentral:rRNA from 1 species
CUGCCGCGUGUGUGAAGAAGGCCUUCGGGUUGUAAAGCACUUUCGGCCGGAACGAAAUCGCGCGGGCUAACACUCCGCGUGGAUGACGGUACCGGAAGAAGAAGCACCGGCUAACUACGUGCCAGCAGCCGCGGUAAUACGUAGGGUGCGAGCGUUAAUCGGAAUUACUGGGCGUAAAGUGUGCGCAGGUGGCCGCGCAAGUCGAGUGUGAAAGCCCCGGGCUUAACUUGGGAAUUGCGCUCGAAACUACGUGGCUAGAGUGUGGCAGAGGAAGGUGGAAUUCCACGUGUAGCGGUGAAAUGCGUAGAGAUGUGGAGGAACACCGAUGGCGAAGGCAGCCUUCUGGGCCAACACUGACGCUCAUGCACGAAAGCGUGGGGAGCAAACAGGAUUAGAUACCCUGGUAGUCCACGCCCUAAACGAUGAUGACUAGUUGUUGGGGGAGUUAAAUCCCUUAGUAACGCAGCUAACGCGUGAAGUCAUCCGCCUGGGGAGUACGGUCGCAAGAUUA